ACCUAGGCUUGGGACGCCUAUCCCUUGUUCCAAGUCCCUUGACUGGAACAAGCACAAUAAACGAGUGUUUCACAAAGAUUUGAAAGCUCUUAAGAAGGCAAAUAUAUCAAUGAGAAAUAACAAAACCCGGAAGAACCCUUUUUGCCGUUGGAAGCGUGGGUAAUGGUGGUUCUUCCGAUGUGGAUCGCGUUGGAUUGAAUGUGAGCUUUGAAU
rnacentral:lncRNA from 1 species